CUUCCGGUCUGUGAGCCCCGUC
rnacentral:miRNA from 1 species